UGGGGAAUAUUGGACAAUGGGGGCAACCCUGAUCCAGCGACGCCGCGUGUGUGAAGAAGGCCUGCGGGUUGUAAAGCACUUUUAGUGGGGAUGAAAUGUUCAGGGUUAAUACCCCUGGAUCUUGACCUAACCCAAAGAAAAAGCACCGGCUAACUCUGUGCCAGCAGCCGCGGUAAUACAGAGGGUGCAAGCGUUAAUCGGAAUUACUGGGCGUAAAGCGUGCGUAGACGGUUAUCUAAGUCGGGUGUGAAAGCCCCGGGCUCAACCUGGGAAUUGCAUUCGAGACUGAAUAGCUAGGGUACGGAAGAGGGAAGCGGAAUUUCAGGUGUAGCGGUGAAAUGCGUAGAUAUCUGAAGGAACACCAGUGGCGAAAGCGGCUUCCUGGUCCAGUACCGACGUUCAGGCACGAAAGCGUGGGGAGCAAACAGGAUUAGAUACC
rnacentral:rRNA from 1 species